GAGUUCCAGUAGAUUGGGUGGCGGAGGCUGGAGCACCCCGGCAGGCGCGAGCCGAGCAGCGCGGCCCAGAGCACAGUCCGCAGCAGGGGCAGCAGCCGCAUCGCCCCUGGGGUCCAGUCUGGUCUGGCCCGGCUGGUCCCGGCCCACUUCUCUGUCCCGGCGAGAAAGCUCUGAGACUGGACAAGUUUGAAGAGAGUGUUCAGUGAAUAAAGGCCCCAAACACUGGAGAAGUGUAUGGGGAAAUGAGGAGACCCGCAGACAGCUUACCAUAUUCACACCUCCGGAGAAGUCAGGGGAACAGAUGGAAUUCUGAAUGGCCAUGCCCACCAUGGGACCAGAGAAGGAAGUUACACUGCAGGACAGAGGUGAGAGAUCAGAGUCUAAAGCCAUCAUUGUCAGAGCCUCACGGGAGAUGAAGGGAUGGACACUCAGCCGUGACAGGAUAGCAUCAGGACCCGGUAGCAGAGUUUGGGAUCCUUACGUCACCAGUUGGGCACUGUCAUGGGGCAGUCGAGGCAGCAAGUCUGUCCGGCGCCAGCGGAGGAAGUUGUCUAGCAGGACAGCUGGGUUGGAGCUCAUUUCUAUCAGGUUGUGCUGGGUCCAUGCCUCUAGGCCCACAAGGGCUACCCGGACAUUCAAGGGCUGGAAGAACUAAAAGGGCCCAGGCUCAGAAAAGGGGCAGGGCGCAGUAAGAUAGUGAUGGGGCUAGGGCCACAGUAAGGGAGGGCUGGGCCUCCUACCCAGCCCCAGACUCACCGUGUCUAGCAAGAGAGCCGCUUCUAGUGUCCGGUUCAGCAGUUGUUGGAAGUCAGGGUACUUUCUGACCUGGGGAUGCNNNNNGGGGGGGGGCAGGGAGCAGGAGAGGGCUAUGGUGUCAACACACUCACCUCUGAAUUAUCAGCCACAAUCACCAACUCCACAAUUUUCGUCUCUGUUACUACAUCUCGCUUAAGCUGUGGAUAAGAAGUGAGAUGUGUCAGGCAGAUUCUCCUCAGGGCCAGGGCUGGGUAAGCUGUGUCCAUACCCACUUUGAGUAGUUAAGAUGAAGAAGACCUCACAGGGUGUGUGAGAGCUCAGAGACCUGCCCAUAGUGGACCAAGGACAGAUUAUGAAGCCCAUAAUGGGACUCUAUUUUCCCACUCCAAAGCAAGCUUUUGGUUUUUUUGAGACAGUGUCUUGCUGUGCAGCUCCGGCUGGCAGUGAACUCUAUCCUCCUGCCUCUGACCCCCAAACAGCUGCUAGGAAACAGUUGUAUAUCAUCAAACCUGGCUUCCUUCGAUUUUAAGAAAUACUAACUAAAGCCAGGCAUGUUGGUGCAUGCCUUUAAUCCCAGCACAGGCAGAGGCAGGUGGAUCUCUGUGAGUUCAAGGCCAGCCUGGUUAAGUUCCAGGACAGCCAAGGCUAUAUAGAGAGAGACCCUAUCUUAAACACAAACAAACAAAAGCAAAUCAAAACCUAUUAUGGGUGGGUAUGGCAGAGCAGACCUUUAAUCCCGUUACUCAGGAGGCAAACAGACAAAGAAACACAAAAACAAAAACAACUGGAAGCACUUGCCAUAUCAAUUCACUUUAAUUUUCACACUGUAGUGUAAUCUCCAUCUUUGAAAAUUAGGAUUUCUUCCUUGGAAAAUAGAGCUUUGGGCAGCACCUGCCUUCUCGGGUUGCUAGAAAGAGCAAUCGAGGCAGUGUUCACACCAUGUCUGAAACAUGGGGAUGGCUCCCUCAGCAGCAGCAACCGUCCCUGGGGUCUGGGCUCUCAGGCUGCCUCCUCACCCUGUGAGCGUGAUGCUGUUCCAGAAGGAGGUCUGGUCCUGCCCGAGUGGGCACAGAGGCAUGCCAGCUUGGGGCACAGGUGUGGCCCGGCAACAGGAGGUCUUGGAUCCGAGAAAUGACAGGACGCUGAAGGUCCCCAGGGCCCAGCUCCAGUGUAUAGCCUCUCUCUGGGGACAAGACAAUCAGCCCCCUAAGGAAAAAGACAGGGAGUCAGAGUAUUUCAGCUCCCUGCCUGUGUGGAUCCUCUCCCCUGGUAGCUAACCCACCCACAGUACCUGAUCCCAGAGCAGGCACAGAGGGAGACCCAGGAGCUGGGGUGGCCCUGCACUCGUCCUCGGUAGCAGCAGUUUUCCUACAGCAGGGAAGCCACAUUAGUUAGCACCAGCCCACAGGGGAGACCAGACAACCCUAGAGUCCAGCUUGCCAGCAACGGCAGGCAGGACCCUCCCACUUCCUCCAGGGCUGCCAUCCUCCCUUCUUCCUUCCCUCUUUUGCCCAGGCCUGAAACAGCACCAGAGGGCCUGACUCACUAGACUGUAGCCCUCGCUGACCAUUCGGGUGCCAUCAGGCUGGUACCACACCAGAGUUGGGCGGCCAGGGAUUAGAUCUCUGUGAGAAAAAGAGGGCAGGAUUUGAGCCACUUCACAGGGUAUUGGGGUGACAAGCUAGGGCCUGAGGUGGGCAAGGGUAUGUUAGGAACCAGGCAAUGCCACCAAACGAACUACUCAGUUCCUUGGAGGCCACACAGUCUGAAGGAUGAGCUGUCUGUCUCCUCCUCCUGCCUGUCUGAGUUCCAGGAUGAUUUUUGACAUUUAUAACUGUACGAACUCAGGCAAGUUAUUUAAUUUCUCUGAGUUUUAACUUCUUCAAAUGUUAAAUAAAGAUGAUAAGUAAUAGCAUCUACCUUAUAGGAUUGUUGUUAAGGAGUCCGUGAGUGUAGUUCUCAGUGCAUAAUAAAGGUUAUGUAA
ensembl:antisense